rfam:Ciona savignyi cont_26225, whole genome shotgun sequence.
UCCCAGGUGGUCUAGUGGUUGGUUUCGUGGCUCUCACCCACGCGGCCCGGGUUCGAUUCCCGGUCUGGGAA